UUUUAUGAGAGUUUGAUCCUGGCUCAGGACGAACGCUGGCGGCGUGCCUAAUACAUGCAAGUCGAACGCUUUUGUUUUCACCGGAGCUUGCUCCACCGAAAACAAAAGAGUGGCGGACGGGUGAGUAACACGUGGGUAACCUGCCCUCAAGCGGGGGAUAACACUUGGAAACAGGUGCUAAUACCGCAUAACAAUCAGAGUCGCAUGAUUUUGAUUUGAAAGGCGCUUUUGCGUCACUUGAGGAUGGACCCGCGGUGCAUUAGCUAGUUGGUGAGGUAACGGCUCACCAAGGCU
rnacentral:rRNA from 1 species